UCAAAUUUGCAAAUUUUUAGAAAAUUUAAAAAUCAUUUGAUACUUCAUUUCAUUAAUUCAAAUCAAUGUAUAAAAUGAUUUUAUGAUUACCCGUCAAUUUGAAUUAAUGAAAUGAAGUAUCAAAUGAUUUUUAAAUUUUAUAAAAAUUUGCAGAUUUGA
rnacentral:miRNA from 1 species